UGACUGGCGAUCAAAACUGCAACCCAGGCGUGUGCCCUGACCAGAAUCAAACCCACAACCCUUCGCUUUGAGGAACAACACCGAACCAGCUGAGCCCCACCAGUCUGGGCCUUCCUUAUUCUUUUUUAAUGACUAUGUUAUCUCAACAAGUGUGUGCACCACGCCACACAACAUAACAGCACACGCUCUGUUGUUGAACACCUAGAGUCUGUCUCUCUUUUUGAACUUUAUAUAGAACUUUGGGAAAAAACGUCAUUUUUUUGCCCAGCAGUCUCUGCUUUUUAGGUCAUUUCAUUAUGAGGCAUUCCCUGAAGCGGAUUUCUUGAAUCGAGGCUGAACCGAUUUUUAUUCAGUGGGAGGGUUUUUAUUGCUGAAAUACACAGAGUAAUCCCCAUCCAGUUAGUUGUUAGUCCUUUGGGAUUAUAGAUCCUUUGGAGACUAUGAUUAAGGUUAUGGACCGUUCUCCAGACACACACACACACACACACACACACACAAAUUGUUUGUAUUCACAAACCAACGUACAAUUUCAACAGUUUCUCAGACCCUCUGAUGCCCAUUUGCUGACAUCUCUAUUAAAUUAAAAAUAUUGUCUUAUCUACUGAAUAUGAUAUCUCAUAAUACUCUGCCAAAUAAGUUCACACAGCAACUCUUGUAUCUGUCAAGUACCUUUGUUUUAAACCACCACUUACUGAGCACGAGUGCCAGCACUGUGCCAGACACUAGAGGCAGAGGAACAAAUGCCCCUGGCUUCAAGGAAUCCAGAGUCUACUGGGGAAGACAUGCAAUAACAAGUAUUUACAAUGAAAUAUGUGCAAUAACAGAAGUAUUCAUUGGACAAAAUGGAGAUACGAAUUACAGAUUGAUGAGGUUUUUUUUUUUUAAUCAGGGGGUUGCAAAGAAUGAAGAAACAUUCUCCUGAAUGUUCGGAUAGAAGAAACGGCAGCAGCAAAGGGAGAGAAGCAUCCUAUAACCUGGCACAGAUAGGAAACUACCCACGUUUAACAUGACCGGGUUAGAGUGGUUGUGCGCAGGAUGGGACAAGGCUCUUCCUUACUUGGGCCCGCGACUAGGAAAAACAACGCUGACCUGUAGGACCUCAGCAGCUGGGCUGAUAACACAAAGGAAACCACAAAAGAAGAUUUCCCUCCAAAUACUUCCUUUAUUGCCCAAACCUACUCUUCCUGCACACAAUGAAAACAUUUGGACUGUUUUGUUCUGCAGCUAUCUGAAGUUCGGCAUUCAACACACAACGUUUAAAACCUACCUAUUGGUACAAACUGGCAACGCAUUUUAAAUUUAACAUCGCCCGAUGGCUUUCAUUUUGCAAACGGAAGUAUUAGGAAGCCUAUACAAUGGUUAUGACAAUUUCUUCAUCAAUUUGUCUUGAAAAAUUACCAUAAAUUAUGACUUAACAUUCACUGAGAAUGUUGCUUUUCAGCCCAUCAGUUAACACUCCUGCUACUAUCAUCUCAGGAAAAACAUUUGGUUAUUUUGAAUUUAACUCAACUUUUUAAGUGUAACGAAGCAUACUUGUUACUUUGAAGUUGCUGGUUUAAUUCUAGUGAAGCAUGUGUAAUUUUUAAAAACACUCAUACUUCUGUGGAAAAUGACUGCAACCAAUUUUGAUAAUGCAAUCUAGUAAAUGUCUUUACUUGAUCUACUUUCACCAAAAGUAUGACUUACAAUGCUUGUAUAGAAGUAAUAUUUUUCCUCUUGCUGUGGUAAAUUUUUAGAAUAAUUUACUUUCUCUUGAAAUUUUAAUUUGCUUAGGUUUCUACCAUGCUUAUCUUUGUUUUCUUAAAAUAAUACCCCAUUCACGCACAUCAUAGAUCUACAUGCAUAGAACCCUAUGUAUAAAUUAUAAUGUGGGAUUAUGCAUUAAUAAAACUUGUUUUCUUGUAUGACUAGAAAAGAAAAAUAGAGUUUUAAAGUUUAAAUAUCAACAACUGACAUUGAAUAAACCAGUUGCAGUUUACAAAGCUGUCAGCACAGAGAAACACCUUCGUUUUUCUUCUUUUCAAAGUACCUUUUGGGUCUCCAAAUGGCAUCCCAUUCAACACCACUGAACUUUGUCAAAUAGGGAUCUUCAAGGUCACCUUAAAAUAACAAAAAGAUGUGCUCUCAUUACCAGUUAUCUCAUCGACCCAUAGGACAUGGUUGUGGCUCUUCAAAUUUAUACUAACAAAAAAAAAUGUUUUACAUGAAUGAAAAAGGAAUCCAAAAGGAGCAACUUUUUU